rnacentral:rRNA from 1 species
UACGAAGGGUGCAAGCGUUACUCGGAAUUACUGGGCGUAAAGCGUGCGUAGGUGGUUUGUUAAGUCUGAUGUGAAAGCCCUGGGCUCAACCUGGGAAUUGCACUGGAUACUGGCAGGCUAGAGUGCGGUAGAGGAUGGCGGAAUUCCCGGUGUAGCAGUGAAAUGCGUAGAGAUCGGGAGGAACAUCUGUGGCGAAGGCGGCCAUCUGGACCAGCACUGACACUGAGGCACGAAAGCGUGGGGAGCAAACAGG